rnacentral:rRNA from 1 species
AUUGAACGCUGGCGGCAUGCCUUACACAUGCAAGUCGAACGGCAGCACGGGAGCAAUCCUGGUGGCGAGUGGCGAACGGGUGAGUAAUAUAUCGGAACGUGCCCAGUCGUGGGGGAUAACGUAGCGAAAGCUACGCUAAUACCGCAUACGAUCUACGGAUGAAAGCGGGGGGAUCGCAAGACCUCGCGCGAUUGGAGCGGCCGAUAUCAGAUUAGGUAGUUGGUGAGGUAAAGGCUCACCAAGCCGACGAUCUGUAGCUGGUCUGAGAGGACGACCAGCCACACUGGGACUGAGACACGGCCCAGACUCCUACGGGAGGCAGCAGUGGGGAAUUUUGGACAAUGGGCGCAAGCCUGAUCCAGCAAUGCCGCGUGCAGGAUGAAGGCC